GACGAACGCUGGCGGCGUGCUUAACACAUGCCAGUCGAACGGAAAGGCCCUGCUUUUGUGGGGUGCUCGAGUGGCGAACGGGUGAGUAACACGUGAGUAACCUGCCCUUGACUUUGGGAUAACUUCAGGAAACUGGGGCUAAUACCGGAUAGGAGCUCCUGCUGCAUGGUGGGGGUUGGAAAGUUUCGGCGGUUGGGGAUGGACUCGCGGCUUAUCAGCUUGUUGGCGGGGUAGUGGCUUACCAAGGCUUUGACGGGUAGCCGGCCUGAGAGGGUGACCGGCAACUUGGGAACGGGGUUACGGCCAGACUCCUACGGGAGGCAGCAGUGGGGAAUAUUGCACAAUGGGCGGAAGCCUGAUGCAGCAACGCCGCGUGCGGGAUGACGGCCUUCGGGUUGUAAACCGCUUUCGCCUGUGACGAAGCGUGAGUGACGGUAAUGGGUAAAGAAGCACCGGCUAACUACGUG
rnacentral:rRNA from 1 species